CCGCUCAGUCCCGUCCAGGGGCCGCGGCCGAGGUCGCUGUGGGCGCUCUGGGGCGGACACGGCACCGGGCAAAGCUGCCCUGCGGCUCCGCCACGGCACAGGUGCGAGGAGCGGCAGGAACGGGUCCGAGAUUUCACCCUCCGCAGGAUAAACUUGGCUCUGCGGCUCCUCCCGGGGGUGGUGGUUGCGGCGCGUGUGGGAGAUGCACAGAUUGCUGCAGUUACCCACCACUGCUGUGUGGAAGCUGCAGAGCAGAGCUGAGGGAGAGCUCGACCACAGAGCCCAGCAAAUCAGAGCGGGGUGAAACCUGAGCAAAUGAAAAUCCUGCUGCAGGGGCAGAGAGAUCACCUUAUAUGGGAACAUCGUGGGAAAGAGAUGAACGCGUCCGGCCGAGCUGCUGAGGUCAGACCCCAAACAGAUGGGAGAUGUUAAUGGGAAAACAAGAGCAUUUAUGAAGAGGAGGCAACACUUCUGCUUCGCUUAUGCAAUCUGAGCCCUCCUGUUUGUCUCUUUUAUUAUAAACGUUGUGCUGUGUGUAUGUACACAGAGGUCUGGCUGUGUUAUAUUAAAGUUAAUUUCUUGGUGGU